rnacentral:rRNA from 1 species
ACGUAGGGGGCAAGCGUUGUCCGGAAUUAUUGGGCGUAAAGGGCGCGUAGGCGGCCUGGUAAGUCUGGAGUGAAAGUCCUGCUUUUAAGGUGGGAAUUGCUUUGGAUACUGUCGGGCUUGAGUGCAGGAGAGGUAAGUGGAAUUCCCGGUGUAGCGGUGUAAUGCGUUGAGAUCGGGAGGGACACGAGUGGCGGAGGCGACUUACUAGAAUGUAACUCACGCGGAGGCGCGAGAGUGUGGGGAGCAAACAG